AUGCCGGACGGCGAGGUAUGGGACUGGGCAGUACACAAGGAGCGCCUCCAUCUGCAACUAGCGCCAGCCCAGGCCAAAUACAAGAAGUUUGCUGAUGCCAACCUCUCAGAGCGCUCUUUCCAGGUGGGUGAGCAAGUGUUACUGAAGCUACAGCCCUACGUGCAACGGUCAGCUGCCAGCCGCCCCUGCGCCAAGCUGGCCUUCAAAUUCUUCGGGCCGUUCCAAGUUCUCGCCAAGAUUGGACCUGCAGCUUAUAAGCUCGACCUGCCUUCGGACAGCCGCAUACACCCUGUCUUUCAUGUGUCCCAGUUGAAGCCUUUCACCCCCAACUAUACACCGGUGUUUUUUGAACUUCCGAGUACUACAGACUUGACUGCAGUCCAGGCCAUUCCAACAGCCAUUCUGGACAGAAAGAUGCUGAAGCUGGGCGACACACCUGUGGUGCAACUCCAAGUGCAAUGGGACACGUCUCCUCCAACAAUUACAUGGGAAGAUCGCGAAGUGUUACGUCGCCGUCACCCAACAGCGGCUAUCUGGAGCGAGGAGCUAGCUGAGGUGGGAGUUCCUUCUCAAGAAGGGGAGAAUGUCACACCGGCAGUGUCAACACCACCGUGUGACUGA
rnacentral:rRNA from 1 species